rnacentral:lncRNA from 1 species
AAAACGCCCUAUGCAAUACAUAUUAAUAAUAAUUGUAACAAAAAAGAAUAUUUAGAAAAUGUAGAUACCAGAAAAAUUUAUACUAUAUUAAUUAAGAAUGAAAUUGAAAUACCUGUUGGUUUUUACAAAUGGAAGACAAUGCUUAACCUUGAAUACAUUAAGAGUCUUUCGUGUAAUAUGUUAAAGUUUGUUCAUCAUUUUUUAAAAGAUAACAAAUACAAAGUGUUCCGUUGGAAAUUGCUACACUUUAUUUUACCUUGUAAAGUUUUAUUGAAAAAGUGGAAGAUCUGCGAUAUUUCAAAUUGUCACUAUUGCAACACCACAGAGGAUUAUGAUCACAUGUUUCUUAAAUGUCACUUUCUUGAUAAUUUCUGG